CACACACAGAUGCAGCACACACAGUUACAGCACACACACAGACACAACACACACACAGAUACAGCAAACACAGAUACAGCUCACACACAGAUAUGGCACACACAUAGAUACAUCACUCACAUACAUACAACACACAGAUACAGCACACACACAGGUACAGCACACACAGAUACAGCACACACACACAUACAACACACAGAUACAGC